AAGUACUAAUUGUUUGUUUCAUGUCCUAAGUUCUACAAGAGAAUAAAGAAACCAAAGAUGCAUUACAGAUAUUGGCAAUUUGAACACAAAGUUCCCAGUCAUGAAAGUAAGUGUAGAAGGACCUUGAACACCCGGAAGCUGGCUUAUGCUUUCUGGUAAUAAGACAAAUGCAAAUCACCACUGCAGGGGACGUAAUAGUUCACCUAUCAGACUGGCACACACCAAGCAGUUGGACUCCGCAGGGUGUUUGCAAACUGUUGGGAAGAGGGUUCUUCCACGGCUGCAGGGGGUGCAGAUGGAAGCCACACCUGUGCAGGGCAAUUGGACUGCACCCAUCAAAACAUCCAGACAGAGCCCAAGUGCCUGGAUCCUUGACUGACUUCUAGGAAUCACUCUGCAUUGUGGCAGGAUUCCUUUGCCAGGGUGCCCAUGGCAUAUUGCUGGGGAUAUGAAGGUGCAGACGCAGUCAUUGAGCUCUUGUCUGGAAUGGCAAAAAGUUUGUGAUUCACUCUUUAAAGGACAUGACAUGUAGUAGAUGCUCUAUGCACUCUUGUUAAAAUUGUUGGGCUUUUUUGGAUUGUAUUUCUGUAAUAUUUUCUUCUCCAGUGUGGGUUGUGUGUGUGUGUGUGUGUGUGGUGGGGGUGGUUAUGGUUGUUGAAAAGUGCACAGAAAUGUAUGUGUGAAGGUCCUUGGGACCUCCUGCCUGGCCUGUCACACACAGCCAGUGAGUGUUUGCUGUUUCACUCUGUGUCCUGUCUCAUUGCCUGGGAGUCACAUGUCGAGGACCUGAUGGAGCCUGUCCACUCAAGGAGUGAAGCACUGACCUCCCAGGGUCCAGGGAGGCUUGUUUCCUAAUGGUGACUGGGAAUCCCAGAGGGUGCCUUGGAACGGUCUGGAAAGCAGGGCAGCAGGAGCCUGACCGGGACAAGAGGUGACUGAGCUGAAGGCUGUGGACGCACCUCCUGCUUCUGCAAGUCCUUCCUGUCAGCCCGGCGUCCUUCUCAUGCCUCACUGUGUAAUCUGGAAGAUCACGGGUUCACAAUACUACAAGGAGGAAGUGUAUCAUCUUUGGAGCUAGAGAGAAAUCUACCUGUGGUUGGAGAAGGAGCUGGGGUGGGGUUCCAGCCACCCGUAGUUGCUUGAGUAGAGGACACCUAUUCUCAAUGGCCUUCUGUCUGGGGAGUGAGUGAGAGCUCUUAUUGCAAUGGAAACAAUCCUUUCCUUAUUUUGAAGUCAUUUUCCAUAUAGUAGAAAUUAGUUCUCUCCCAGUACUCUAACACUGGAUUCCCAAACUCCUGUUCAACUGUGAAGGGAUCAUCAGUUUAGAACGUUUAUAUCCAAGCAGAGAUUUCCUUUGAACACAGAAAACAAUAUCCGUCCUGGUAAAGUGGAAAAUAUUUUCAACUGAAAAGCUUAAUUAAAGAGAACAUUACCAGUAUCUUAAGUUCUCUGAAUAGCUUCGUCACUAUUUUAAAUUCUGUUUAUUUUUCAUUGGCUGCUUUGGGGUUUUACCAAAUAUGGAUGCGUUGUACUGUUAUUUAAGCAUUAUAGAAACGUUAACAUAACUAUUGUGUUCUGCAGCUUGCUUCUUUUCUUAACAUGCUUGGUAUUUUUCACUGGAAUAUACCCCACACAACAUAAAAAUGUGCAAUUCAGUAUUUUUUAAUGUAUUCAUGAUGUUGUGAAAUGCACCACCACUAUCUAAAUGUGGAACAGUUUUCUUCUUUUUCUUUUUUACAUACAAUUUAAUGUGCUAUUUUCAUGUAUGCAUACAUCAUGGAUUGAUUGUUUUCAUCACUCCAAAAAGCCUUCCCAAAUCCUUGUGCUCAGGAGUACUCAUCCUGAUUCUCACCUCCAGCCCUUGCCAAAAAUCACUGCCUUCCAUCUCUACGCCACAGUGUGCUUUUGAGCAGCAUCUACAUUAAUGUAUGCAGCUGUAGUUCAUUCAAUUCUAAUAAAUGCAUAAUAAGUUUUCAUA